rnacentral:rRNA from 1 species
AUUGAACGCUGGCGGCAGGCCUAACACAUGCAAGUCGAACGAGCGGCGGACGGGUGAGUAAUGUAUGGGGAUCUGCCCGAUGGAGGGGGAUAACUACUGGAAACGGUCUCUAAUACCGCAUACUAUCGGAUGCGCCCAUAUGGGAUUAGCUAGUAGGUGGGGUAACGGCUCACCUAGGCGACGAUCCCUAGCUGGUCUGAGAGGAUGACCAGCCACACUGGAACUGAGACACGGUCCAGACUCCUACGGGAGGCAGCAGUGGGGAAUAUUGCACAAUGGGCGCAAGCCUGAUGCAGCCAUGCCGCGUGUAUGAAGAAGGCCUUCGGGUUGUAAAGUACUUUCAGCGGGGAGGCGUUACUCGCAGAAGAAGCACCGGCUAACUCCGUGCCAGCAGCCGCGGUAAUUC